GACGUAGGGCGCGAGCGUUUGUCCGGAUUUAUUGGGCGUAAAGAGCUCGUAGGCGGCUUGUUGCGUCGACUGUGAAAACCUGCGGCUCAACCGUGUGGUCUGCAGUCGAUACGGGCAGGCUGGAGUUCGGUAGGGGAGACUGGAAUUCCUGGUGUAGCGGUGAAAUGCGCAGAUAUCAGGAAGAACACCCGUGGCUAAGGCGGCUCUCUAGUACGGUACUGACGCUGAGACGCGAAAGCGUGGGGAGCGAACAGG
rnacentral:rRNA from 1 species